rnacentral:rRNA from 1 species
AUUGAACGCUGGCGGCAUGCUUUACACAUGCAAGUCGAACGGUAACAGGCCUUCGGGUGCUGACGAGUGGCGAACGGGUGAGUAAUGCAUCGGAACGUGCCCAAUCGUGGGGGAUAACGUAGCGAAAGUUACGCUAAUACCGCAUAUUCUGUGAGCAGGAAAGCAGGGGAUCGCAAGACCUUGCGCUCUGGGAGCGGCCGAUGUCGGAUUAGCUAGUUGGUGGGGUAAAGGCCUACCAAGGCGACGAUCCGUAGCGGGUCUGAGAGGAUGAUCCGCCACACUGGGACUGAGACGCGGCCCAGACUCCUACGGGAGGCAGCAGUGGGGAAUUUUGGACAAUGGGCGCAAGCCUGAUCCAGCCAUGCCGCGUGAGUGAAGAAGG